GUGUGCGCUGGCACGUGGUAUUUUGUGGAAGAGUCGCACUCAAGGGGCCGCAGUUUGCCGACCACUGUCCUAGUCCCUAUUUCCUGAACCAAAGAGCUCAUAAGCAGGGAACCCAGGUGCCCCAGGCACAGGCUUGAGGUAUAUUCCAUUCAUUUAACCCCACUCUCAUGACAUCUAGAUCCAGUUCCUCCUGGAGGUUCCUCAGCUUGGUGCCCAAUUAUUUUAAAUUGUAGGUUUGAGUCCCUUCUUUGUUUCUUGUAUCUGUGGACUUUUACUUUCUUGCUUUUGAGUUCCACUGUGCACUGAAAAUGUUGCCUGUUAUAUUUUAUCCAGGAUUACUGCUUUUAGUGUGCCAUGGCGAUUAUCAUUACAGGUGAUACUUACUCUUGUGAGGCUGGGACUCAAUAAAAAUAAAAA